AGACCCGAAACCCGGUGAUCUAGCCAUGGGCAGGUUGAAGGUUGGGUAACACUAACUGGAGGACCGAACCGACUAAUGUUGAAAAAUUAGCGGAUGACCUGUGGCUGGGGGUGAAAGGCCAAUCAAACCGGGAGAUAGCUGGUUCUCCCCGAAAGCUAUUUAGGUAGCGCCUCGUGAAUUCAUCUCCGGGGGUAGAGCACUGUUUCGGCUAGGGGGCCAUCCCGGCUUACCAACCCGAUGCAAACUGCGAAUACCGGAGAAUGUUAUCACGGGAGACACACGGCGGGUGCUAACGUCCGUCGUGAAGAGGGAAACAACCCAGACCGCCAGCUAAGGUCCCAAAGUCAUGGUUAAGUGGGAAACGAUGUGGGAAGGCCCAGACAGCCAGGAUGUUGGCUUAGAAGCAGCCAUCAUUUAAAGAAAGCGUAAUAGCUCACUGGUCGAGUCGGCCUGCGCGGAAGAUGUAACGGGGCUAAACCAUGCACCGAAGCUGCGGCAGCGACGCUGAUGCGUUGUUGGGUAGGGGAGCGUUCUGUAAGCCUGUGAAGGUGGCCUGUGAGGGUUGCUGGAGGUAUCAGAAGUGCGAA
rnacentral:rRNA from 1 species